rnacentral:rRNA from 1 species
GAUGAACGCUGGCGGCGUGCCUAAUACAUGCAAGUCGAACGAACGUUCGCUACCCUGUCUUUGCACUUAUUAGCAGCGAAGAGUGGAGGAAGACGGAGAAAACCUACCUUAAACUAUCCAAUAACGUGGGAAAACAGUUGCUAAUAGGUGCUAAUAUUGUAUACCGGUUUAUGCCGCAGUGCAUGACGGUCUUACGGUCACUUGUGUGUGGUUCCGCGGUGCAUUAGCUAGUUGGUAAGGUAACGGCUUACCAAGGCAACGAUGCAUAGCCGACCUGAGAGGGUGAUCGGCCACACUGGGACUGAGACACGGCCCAGACUCCUACGGGAGGCAGCAGUAGGGAAUCUUCCGCAAUGGGCGAAAGUCUGACCGAGCAACGCCGCGUGAGUGAAGAAGGUCUUCGGAUCGUAAAACUCUGUUAUUAGGGAAGAACAAAUGCGUUAGUAACUGUGCAUCCCUUGACGGUAUCUAACCAGAAAGCCACGGCUAACUACGUG